rnacentral:lncRNA from 1 species
AGUCUUCUUUUCGGUAUCUCUCUCUCUCUACUUGACAACACAGAGACUGUGUAACUCAAGUUUGGGGGAGGUACCAAGUAUUUGAUCAUGUUUGCUUUGAUGUUGUUUCAUUGAGUCAUGCAUUGCAUACCUAUUUGCAUAUAAAAAAAAAAUCAAUCAUUUAGUUUGCAUCAUUUGCAUUUCUAGGAGAGUCUAGAGCAUAUAGGUUGCAUUCACUUGCAUUGGGAGCAAUGAUUUUAAAUGCCUUGUAAAGAACACUACGUUGCACCUGAGUAGCUUUUGCACCUCUCAAAAAGACUUGUAUGUUUCGAGCCUUGAAAACUCUUCCUGAAACUUGUUGAUUGCUGAAACUCAGUCUUUGAAGCCAACUACAACCUUAUUUGAACUGAACGAACUUAAUGCUUCUUGCUCAUGGUCCCUUGUGUACUGAGUCAUGGCUAUACACACUUGAGUUGUCACAUCCUUUAUGCCAAUCUUAUUUUGACAAACUCUAGUGGUAGACCACUCCCAAAACCCUUCCCUCCUUUUAAGCUUUCAUUGUUUGAUGAGUGAGGCCUUUUUCGGAAAGUCUUACAUGUGCAUAAUGUUGAGAGUAUCGGGAACGACAAUGCUUGAUCUUCAUUCUUGCUAGAUUGGGCACUCUAUUGUCUAGCUAUAGGUGGGGGGUGAGAGUUGUGAUUAUGAUUUGGGAGCAAUGAAAAAGGAAAAGAAAUGACUCUUUGUGUUAAGUGAAUUGUCUUAUUGGGAUAAGUAGAAAAACCUCUAGCUCAAGUUAUGAAAAGUCUUGGCCCCCAUCUAAAAAAAAAGAAAAAAAAGGAAAAGAAAUAAAAUAUAAAAAGAAAAGAAAAAGAAAAAAAAAAAGGGGCUAGCAAAGUUGUUAGGAGCUAAGAAAUAUUUUGAGGUUCUGAAAAAAAUUCCUUGUAGAUUUCAAGGAGAAGGAGUUAAAGUUCUUAGGAUCUUUUGGUGAGAGAUGUGAGUUGGGUUUGACAUUUGGGAAUAAUUGUGUAAUUGUAUGUUUGGGAAAAGGGUAGAACAAUGGAGAUUGAGCAUUGUAAGCAUGAGUUGAUCCCUUUCUUAGAUAUAUUAUGUGCAAUGUCAAGUCUACUUGUUUCGAGAGUAAACCACCUUAAAGAUCAUAUGUUUUGAACCUCUUGAAUCACUUGAAUAAAAACCUUCCUUACCCAACCAAAUGAUUUGGACCAACUGACCAUUUGCAAGAAUUCACCUAAUGUUUUGUGCUUAAUGAAUGUGAGAGUUGGUUGAUUUGAAUGUGUGGAUGCUUGAUGAUGAGUGUAAGAGCAAAAAGAGUUGAGAUAGGCCUAGAGAAGCUAGAGUGUAAUAAGAGAGUGUGCUAGUUGUGUUUCUUUUGGCUAUGUGCUCCCACCUUCAACCUCUCUCCCUAUGAGUUCUAGAAAGUUCACUUGUGGACAAGUAAAAGAACAAGUUUGGGGGAGUUGAUAUCUUGCAUAUUUACAUUGUUUUAUCCAUUCAUCCAUGAGCAUUUUCAUCAUAUAGAUUAGGAUUUAGCCAUGUCUAGGUUGCAUUUUGC